CUUGUACUGUAUGUUUAAUUGAUGACAUAUCUUUAAUAAGUUUUAAUUUGAAAUGCAGUGUGCAUGUUAUCAGUUUUUUAAAUAGAUAUUUUUUCUUGCUUACAGGUAUUUCAACAGUGAUUAUUAAUAUAUUGCUAGUUUUCUGUUUGUAGAUAUAAACUAUGUGACUGAAAAACAUUUUUUGACGUUGAUAUUCUAAAAGAUCAGUGGACUCAAUCUAUCAAUAAUUAUUUGUGAGAAAACUUUGUAAUAUAUGUUCCUGUGUGUCUAGGUGUAUGAGCAAUGCUGCAUUCAUUGGCAUGAUCAUCGAUAACACUGGAUCUUCGUUAGUGUGUAACUAUCAGAUGCAGUGUUUCUAAGAUGCAGGUUAUAUGUGAAAAAUUGAACAUAAUGGCAAGCAGUUGCAGCAGGGGAUAAUAUUUUUAACAGGAUUCCAUGGAACAAAAUAGAAGAUUUUUAUUAAUUAGUCCAGCCAAGAUUUGAUUUAGUAGUAGGGCAUAAUUUAUAAAAUUGAUUGUUUAGAGUAUAGCCUUAGUUUAGAGGGACGUGUCAGGCUUCUCAAAGCCUUUCUUCAAUUUGAGUUAUUUUCAUUAUUAUUAAGUUUAGGUUUUUUAGUGCAGUACAAUAUACUAAAAUUUUGAAAGUAAAUUGUGCAGAUUCUAUUUAAAAAAUAUCAAUUAUCUGUUGUCAAAUUUCAUGCGCUUAUUGCGAAUUUAUACAAUUACGUUUAUGUUGUCUUAUUUAUAUACAUGCACGGGAUAAUGUUCAGAAUUCAAAUAUAAGCUUAUAAUGAUAAGGAGAUAUCCCUACAAAACUUGGGGCCUGUGGGCGCGUUGCAUCUAGAUCGUUAUUAAACUAUUUGUAUCAAAAAUCGUUUUUGUGGCUUUAUUAUGCAUCAAAGCAUUUACAAAAUAUAUUUGCCUUGGUAAUAAGUUGUGUUUAGAAAAUAUCUACAACUUUUACAUUUAAUAUUUUCAUGUAAAACGUAAAGCUGCAAAGGUUUAUGGCCAAUAAUUGGAUUUUUAGCUGUUAAAAAACGAUUUUGGGCUGUUUAUUUGAGUUAUAAGCAUUUUCAUGAUUUGAUGUCAACAGGAAAAAAUUGUAUUUUUUUUAAAUCUACAACUUUUCCAUUAAACUUUUUUUUGUAGAAUGUUUAGAAUUCGAGUUAAAGCCAAAAAACCGUUUUUAGCGACUUUUGGAGGUGACAGCAUUCUGCACAUUUGUGCAGGAUCAAGCCCAAAAUAAAUUUGGCACCUUACAAUUAUGAGAGGAGUUCGCACACACAUUUUUAGCCUGGUUGAUUAAAGUCUUUCAGAGAUAAUUGUGUAACACCAACAUUUUUAUUCAAAAAACCCGCCAAAAUUGAAAAAAAUUGUGCCCGCAUUUUUAAAAAAAUGUAAACAAUCGGGAUAAAAAAAAUUACUUUUUAGGGUUUGUGCAAGAGGAGAUUCCUCCCAAAAUUUCAUGAGAUAUUGCGUGAGAUAUCGCAUCUCACACAUUUUUCGAUGACAAAACUAUAAGGCACUUCUGUAUCGCGGUCGUACCUAAAAACGUAUGUAUAUCAUAUCAUUUGAAUAGUUCUUAUCAUGAUUAUCCUCAGCAUCAUCUGAUCUAGACCACAUCCGAAAAUUUUUAUUUAGCAUUAUUAUACAUCUAAACGUGUACUAUUAGUGUAUACGAAAAAAUUAUAUUUUUCUAUUUUAAAUAAGAGAUAAGUAUGUUUGUACAUAUGUACGUACAUACUCUACUUUACUAAUGUUUAUUGUUAAACACGAAAUUCUCCACUAACAGUUAGGCAAUGGUUCCAAAUUGAAGCAAUAGCAUGUCACUAUAGGAAACUAAGAUCUAUUUAUGAUAAAAAUACGAAAACUACUAGGAAUAAGAGCAUAUCAUUGCCAAAAAUUAAUAAAACUAUAAGUAAAAAAAGGAGUUACUACAUGGCUGUGAAAAUCUUCAAUCUACUCUCUAAUGAUCUCAAAGAGGCAACAGUUAGAAAAGUAAAUAUUAAGAAUAAAUUAAAGGAUUUCAUAAGAAAUUUAAUAGUAUGAAAUGAAUUAAAGACACUAGUUUAACUUCUGUUAUCAGACUGAGAGAAAUGUAUAGUUAGAAUAGCCAUACAUUUUUCUGUGGUAUUAGCCUUCGAUGACCACAGCUGAUUUAGGGGUGGACUCAGGCAGAUUCUACCAAAGUUUGCAGUAGUCCAAGCUUGGCUUCUCCCCACAUUAU
rnacentral:lncRNA from 1 species